GACGAACGCUGGCGGCGUGCUUAACACAUGCAAGUCGAACGAUGACGCCCGAGCUUGCUCGGUCUGAUUAGUGGCGAACGGGUGAGUAACACGUGAGCAACCUGCCCUUCACUCUGGGAUAACCUCGGGAAAUCGGGGCUAAUACCGGAUAUGAGCUCCUGUCGCAUGGCGGGUGUUGGAAAGUUUUUCGGUGAAGGAUGGGCUCGCGGCCUAUCAGUUUGUUGGUGGGGUAGUGGCUCACCAAGGCGAUGACGGGUAGCCGGCCUGAGAGGGCGACCGGCCACACUGGGACUGAGACACGGCCCAGACUCCUACGGGAGGCAGCAGUGGGGAAUAUUGCACAAUGGGCGAAAGCCUGAUGCAGCGACGCCGCGUGAGGGAUGACGGCCUUCGGGUUGUAAACCUCUUUCAGCAGGGAAGAAGCGAAAGUGACGGUACCUGCAGAAGAAGCGCCGGCUAACUACGUG
rnacentral:rRNA from 1 species